rnacentral:rRNA from 1 species
UACGUAGGGGCCUAGCGUUGUCCGGAAUUAUUGGGCGUAAAGAGCUCGUAGGCGGUUUGUCGCGUCUGCUGUGAAAACUGGAGGCUCAACCUCCAGCCUGCAGUGGGUACGGGCAAACUAGAGUGCGGUAGGGGAGAUUGGAAUUCCUGGUGUAGCGGUGGAAUGCGCAGAUAUCAGGAGGAACACCGAUGGCGAAGGCAGAUCUCUGGGCCGUAACUGACGCUGAGACGCGAAAGCGUGGGGAGCGAACAGG